rnacentral:rRNA from 1 species
UACAGAGGUCUCAAGCGUUGUUCGGAUUCAUUGGGCGUAAAGGGUGCGUAGGCGGCGCGGUAAGUCGGGUGUGAAAUCUCGGGGCUUAACUCCGAAACUGCAUUCGAUACUGCCGUGCUUGAGGACUGGAGAGGAGACUGGAAUUUCCGGUGUAGCGGUGAAAUGCGUAGAGAUCGGAAGGAACACCCGUGGCGAAGGCGGCAUCCUGGACCGACACUGACGCUGAGGAGCGAAAGCCAGGGGAGCAAACGGG